rfam:Prevotella salivae F0493 contig00023, whole genome shotgun sequence.
GCAGUGUUCCGGCUCUGUUGCUGGCGUUUGUUUUGACGCGAGAGGAAAGUCCGGGCAGCAUAGGACACUCCACUUCCGAAAAUAGAAGCUAUUGGUGACAGUAGGUGUUGGCAGAAGAAAAUAACCGCCUUGUAAAACGAAACUGGAAGGAAUAGCCUUUCAAGUCCAUUCAAGGUAAGGGUGAGAAGGUAGUGUAAGAGACUACCAGCUGACAGGCGAUUGUCAGGCUGUGCUAUCUGGAGGCUGCAAGUUCAUGUAUACCGUAGACUGAAAGUUGUCCGCUUAAAGAUUAUAAAUCGCUACGGAGGGUAGAAUGCUUAAGCUGUGGGGUGACUCACAGAUUAGAUAAAUAACAGGGCGCCAUCGCUUUGAUGGAGACAGAACCCGGCUUAUAGGAACACUGCUUUC